AUGAAGAGGGGCAGGGAGAGAUUUGGGGAAACUCUGCUUCAGCUGUGGGCACAGGAGGCAGCACUCAGGACAGUCUCCAGCAUGGCCUGGUCUCCUCUCCUCCUCACUCUCCUCGCUCACUGCACAGGCUCCUGGGCCCAGUCUGUGCUGAUGCAGCCGCCCUCAGUGUCUGGGGCGCCCGGGCAGAGGGUCACCAUCUCCUGCACUGGGAGCAGCUCCAACAUCGGGGCAGGGUUAUGAUGUGCAGUGGUACCAGCAGCUCCCAGGAACAGCCCCCAAACUCCUCAUCUAUGACAAUAAUAAGCGACCCUCAGGGGUUUCUGACCGAUUCUCUGGCUCCAAGUCUGGUACCUCAGCCUCCCUGGCCAUCACUGGACUCCAGUCUGAGGAUGAGGCUGAUUAUUACUGCCAGUCCUAUGACAGCAGCCUGAGUGCUCGUACAGUGCUCCAGGCCCGGGGGAAACUGAGACAAGAACCCCCUUCCUCCUCUACCAGGAGGGUGAGCACUCAGCUAAUGCUGCUCAGGCGUGGCCUGUGGCUUCUGCUGCUGCAGCUUCCCCCAUGGUCCAGGGGUAUCCAGGGCCCUGCUUCAGAGUAG